AUUAAAUGCUAGUGAAUGAAACAGUUGGAACCCCCACAUAAAUCCUUAUUGCUCUAAAUUCCAUUCUUUAAAUAUUAGUGUAUGUCAUUCCUACUUUAAUAAAUAGCCAUGGAAAUGCCAGAUGCUUUAUGAACCACCUGAGAGGGUUCUGAGAUGCCCUUUAGACUUAGGAGAAGUUGAAAGGUAUUACAUUAAUCUAUAUCACUUAAUCUCAAUUUUCUAUUAGCUAGAACUAACCAUACAAGAACACUUCUUGACUUUUGUUUCUUCUAGCCUUCAGAACAAUGGCAGCUUUGCUCCUCACUGAAUGUCUGUGGGAACUAAAGAAAUCAUACACGUGGACCUAACUGCACCAAAAGCUUUUCUAAGGAUAUUUGCUGAGAAGGAAGUUUUCCCGAGUGGGCAAACCUAUCUAAGCAGACCAAACCAGACUUGAGGGUUUUCCCUGUAUUUUGAAGAGCCCUACAGAAUGAUUCGUGAUAAAAAGCAACCUACAACUACUGGAGGAAAAUUUGGUGUCACAUUAAAGUUUGCUGUGUAUUUAAUGAAGUACUGUUCUGAAUUGAUAACCUUGGGGUGGUUUGUCUAGCAUCAGAAUUAGGAGCCUCUGAGCUGAGCAGUAAAGGUAAGGAGGGCUCAGUGUACAAGGUCAGUUUUUGUUGUCCAACUGGAAGUCCUACCAUGCCUACUUGAAGACAGCACAUUCCUCUUUGCCUUGGAGGUUGUUGAGCUUUCAUUGUACUUAAAGACUGAAUACAGUUUUCUGUUUUGUUAAGGUAAAUUCAGGAUGUAAUAGUCUUACUGAGUUUUAAAGGGUAACAAAGUUGGGCAUACCCUGUAAAUUUUCAGGCCAUAGAAAAAUCAGUGAAGGCUUAGUUUUCUAAUUUAGCGUAUAUAGCAUUCAGAGAUGCUGAUGUAUUUGCAACUAAGUCGUGCUGUUGGAAUUGUUUUGGUGCUUUCAAUGUAAAUAAAUAUAUGCAUUUUAAAACUACUUGUUAAAUUUCCC
ensembl:lncRNA